rnacentral:rRNA from 1 species
CCCGUAGGCGGGCGUCUAAGUCAGUGGUGAAAUCUUACAGCUCAACUGUAAAAUUGCCAUUGAUACUGGAUGUCUUGAAUUAGUGUGAAGUGGUUAGAAUGUGUAGUGUAGCGGUGAAAUGCAUAGAUAUUACACAGAAUACCAAUUGCGAAGGCAGAUCACUAACACUAUAUUGACGCUGAGGGACGAAAGCGUGGGGAGCGAACAGGAUUAGAUACCCUGGUAGUCC